GAGUUUGAUCAUGGCUCAGAAUCAACGCUGGCGGCGUGCCUAACACAUGCAAGUCGUACGCGAAAGGGGAGCAAUCCCUGAGUAGAGUGGCAAACGGGUGAGUAACACGUGGGUGACCUGCCUCAGAGUGGGGGAUAACGUCCCGAAAGGGACGCUAAUACCGCAUAACAUCCUGCCUUUGGAAAGGCGGAGAUCAAAGCCGGGGAUCGCAAGACCUGGCGCUUGGAGAGGGGCCCGCGUCUGAUUAGCUAGUUGGUAGGGUAAUGGCCUACCAAGGCAACGAUCAGUAUCCGGCCUGAGAGGGCGGACGGACACACUGGGACUGAGACACGGCCCAGACUCCUACGGGAGGCAGCAGUGGGGAAUUGUUCGCAAUGGGCGCAAGCCUGACGACGCAACGCCGCGUGGAGGAUGAAGAUCUUCGGGUCGUAAACUCCUGUCGAGCGGGAAGAACACCUUUCGGGCGAAUAUCCCGGAAGGCUGACGGUACCGCUAAAGGAAGCCCCGGCUAACUCCGUGCCAGCAGCCGCGGUAA
rnacentral:rRNA from 1 species